UACGUAGGGUGCAAGCGUUAUCCGGAAUUAUUGGGCGUAAAGAGCUCGUAGGCGGUUUGUCGCGUCUGCUGUGAAAACGCGAGGCUCAACCUCGCGCCUGCAGUGGGUACGGGCAGACUAGAGUGCGGUAGGGGAGAUUGGAAUUCCUGGUGUAGCGGUGGAAUGCGCAGAUAUCAGGAGGAACACCGAUGGCGAAGGCAGAUCUCUGGGCCGUAACUGACGCUGAGGAGCGAAAGCGUGGGGAGCGAACAGG
rnacentral:rRNA from 1 species